UCAGACAGCGUGAGAUGGAUUCCAAGCGUCAGAGGGCAUGCAGUGAGCAUGAGCCUAACAAAUACUAAGGACUUUAAAGGCAAGAAUUUGUAGCUUUCAGCCGGAAACAGUGGGACAGGAAAAGAAAUGGGAGGCCAUGUUGACGUUAUCUACAAUUCUACAAUAAUGCGUGAGUCGUGCUCAUGAUCUAGAACGGGACCAUAAAGACACAGCCACCUGACACUCCCUAAGAAGACCACCUGUAAGGAUGAUAGGACCGAUAGGAGAGCUGAUCUAAAACGACCACCAGAAAUCAGAGGCUGACAGGAGUUCUGAUGGCCCAGAUCAUGGAAAAUACAGCUGAAUAUUCCAGAGGAAAAGUUGAGAAACUCAGGAAGGCCCCCAUGAUAGAAGGAGAUGGGUUUGAAUACCUGCCAAGAACAUGAAGCCAGAUCCACAUGGCCACGUAGAAACAGAACGUGGAGACUCCGCCAGCAUCAAUGUUUGAAGGUUGCAGAAAAGGCAGUGGGAGCUAUAGUAGUUAAGAGCCUGGCCUCGGAGCUGUGCUGCCUGGGUGUCAAUCCUGACUCUCUUCCCUCCUAGCUGGAGCACAUUGUCUCUUCUUAACAGGAAGCUAAUCAAAUCUCUCUAAGCUGAUGUUUAACCUCGACUGCAGACACAUCAGGUGACCUGUGCCAAGGAGUGGGGAAAUCCACACUACACUUGCUUUGAGAGGAAAACAUCACCAAGACCAUGUUUAAGGGCUUGUUGUGCUGAACUCUUGGUUGUGGAGGAUUGGAUCUUCUUUGGCACUCUUCAACUGCUCUUUAUUCGACUUCUUGGUGUUCGUAAGAGAAUCUGCUGAAUGAGAAGGAUGGCACUCAUAGUUGAAGGAGACCAUACCGCAAGCAAAAUGGCAGUAACUCAGGAAGGUAGCCAAUGGGAAGAGGCAGUGUUUUUUCAAAUACAAAAUGCCAUUUUAUAUAUAUGUGUGUGUGUGUGUGUGUGUGUGUGUGUGUGUGUGUGUGUGUGUAUAUAUAUGUAUGGUAUAUAUAUGUAUGGUGUGUAUAUAUAUAUGGUAUAUAAUGUACAUACAAUAUGUAUAUUGUAUUUAUAAUGUAUAUUAAUGAUAUAAUUAUUAUGUGAUAUAUUAAUCUCCAUAAUUUUACCCACCCUACCUUCUAUCUAUUACCUCUUUUUAGAGCUGACUCACUGAUCUUUAUGUCCAUAUUUGCACAUUUAGUUUUCAUGUUGCUCUUCAAAUAAUUACAAUAGCUAUUAUUUAUUAUUAUUAUUAGCAAUAUUCUUAUAUACUAUUAUAUUACCCUUCAAGGAUAGUUUUGAUAUUUAUUUUGAUCUGUAUUUACUGUUCUAUAAAUAUAAUGAGGAGAUGAUAGGAGGAGGAAGAUAGAACACACUCAGAUUUUCUCUACCUCUCAUGUCCCCUAAGUAUAGCCCUGAUAUAACCAGUCCUUUGGUCUAUUUCACCAUGCCACAUUACCCUAACGUGAAAUGUCACAGUCCCCUCUGCAGAUUUUUCCCCCUGGAGGAAGACACAAUCCUUUAAUGAAUCUUGGAUUUUCUUCAUCCAGUUUCCCAUCAGUGACAUCGACCCCAGAAUCCCAGCCUGUAAUAUGUCUGUCUACUCAGUUGCAGGAGAUGCUCUCCACGUCCACUGCUCAAUUUUGCAAGGCGUCCUGUGAACUACCAUCAGCUUUUACUUCUUAAAAGUCAACUUAGUAAAUCUUAUGCUUCCAGAAUCAUUUGUGGGAUAGAGCUAGAGAAAGAAAGCAGUUCUGUGCAGGGGAUAUUUACAAUUAACAGCCAUGGCCUUGAUGGGAAUUGCUGUCACUUUCAGCUGAGCCAUAAGUAGCCAACAGCUUACAUGGCCAAUGCAGAGCAUCCUCUUUUGCUUUGGAACAUUCCAACCCACGGCUUCCCACUUCAGCACAUGCUGGGAGGCUGAGAUAUUUAAGCAGAUGACAGGAAAGUGAUAAAGACAGAAAGAAGAACUUAGAACAAAUCGUGUAAAUAAACCUGUAUUUCCCUCCCAUCUUCCCUUCUUUUCUUCCUUCUGUCCAAAUUUCCUUCCUUCCUUCCUAAUUCUUCCUUCUUAUCUUUUAAAUCAAAAGAUUGUAUUUUCAAAGUCCAGUAAAAUAAAACAGACAUAAACAUAUUUUCAAAAGCAGAAUUCUGGCCAUCUAUUAGAAAUCUCUACCUUGUCUGUGCUAUAAUGGAGAAAAAGGGUACAUGAAGGAAGAUGCACAAUAUCAUGUGUUUCAAGGAGCAGCCUAAAAAUUAGUGUUUUGAAUGAACUUCUUAUUUGGUCAAUGACUUCUUGCCACCAACUUCUUCAAGACCCACAUGUUCAUCUGCAUGACAAGAGAAAGAGAAGAGACUUGGAAAUCACCAGGGAAUAAGAAUUUUGUGAGCAUUCUCCCAGCAUAAUAACCUCUAUGACAUUCAAACCACAAUGUGCUAACCCUUACCUAUAAUGUCCAAGUUUCUGGCCUCUGUGUGUUUUAUAACCAAUACCUGGAAUUGUCUUUCUGCCUUCUCUCCACCCCCAUCGAUCCAUCAACUGUACAGCUCAUCUCCAAACUUAUUUCCAUGUUUCAAUUUAGAUGUUUUCUCCAUUUUAGUUCUUCACAUGUUUGAAUUGUUCUUGUUUCCCGUUUCUAUAUCUCUUUUGGUAGGAUAGUUGCUGAAACUUACUGGAAUGUUGUUUUGUAAUGGUGUUAAAUUAAUCCUGAAUUUGUGGUUUGUUUAUAGUAUAAAAUGUAAUGUCCUUAAGUUUAAAAGAAUUUAUUCUACUUUUUUUUUUCUAUGCAUACUCCCUGCAAAGCAUGGAGUACAAUGCUGGGCACUAGAUAAAAAGUGGUAAAUAACCAUUGUUCAUUAGGAAAUGUAAGAUACAUGGCACCAGCAUCCAUCUUCUGUCACAUUACCGUUAAUCUCAGUUAUAAUACUAGGAAAAAGCAGGGAAUAGGAAUUCAAUUUUAUAGCUGAAAGUAAGAUGUUGUUUUGUUAGACGUGCAAAAAGCUCAUUUCUGAAACAAAGCAAAAUAAAGCAAAGCAAAACAAGACUAUUGCUAUCCACCAGUCACCUGCCCUUUAUGAAACAUUUGAUAUUUGUGGCCCCUAGAAUUCAAUUCUAAAGCAAUAUAGAAAAUAAGUGAUCAGGAUCCCACCAACUUUAGUAAAGUGCAAGUUGUGAAUUCCAGAGUAGAAGUUUGGAGCCCAUAAAAAACCAUAGAUAUUUCACCUUUCCAUUUCAAGGAUCUUCAGACUCUACCCAUUAGUUUUUGCCACUCUGCUUUUAAAUAUGUAUAGGCUUCUCCAAUAUAGAAAAAGAAAAAUACCUUGAGUCCUUGUAUUGGUCAGCUUGGGCUGCAAUAACAAAAUGCCAUAGACUCAAUGCUUAAACAAAGGAAUUUAUUUCUCUUAGUUCCUGGGGCUGGGAAGUUCAAGAUCAAGGUGCCGACUGAUUUGAUUUCCCAGUGAGGGCUCUAUUCCUGGCUUCCAGAUGUCUGCCUUCUUGCCAUGCCCUUAUAUGGAGAAGAGAGAGAGAGAAAGGAAGCUAGCUAGCUCUCUGGAGUCUCUUCUUAUAAGAACACUAAUUUCUUAUUAGAAAGCUCCACCCUCAUGACCUCAUCUAAACCUAAUGACCUCCCUAAGGCCCGAUUUCCAAAUACCACCACAUUGGGGGUGAGGGCUUUAACAUACGAAUUCUGGGUGAAAGGACACAAUUCAGUCCAUUGCAGCCCUGUUACUCUAUUAAAUAACACAUUCUUCAGUGUAGAAAUCCCUGGUGAAGGCUGACACCAAUAUAGUGCUUGUUGUGUGCCAGUGAUCACUGCAAGUCCUCCACACAUGUACCUCCUUUAAGAUCCACAGCAACUGUUUGAGGUAGUUACUAUGAUCUUGCCCAUUUUGUGGAGGUGGAAAUUUAUGAAUAGAAAAGAUUAGCAACUUUCCUUGGGGUCAUAUAGUCAGCAAGUGACAAAGCCAAGUUUCAAGCUCAGCCACAUUGUCUCCAAAAUCUUCAGAGCUCUAAAAUCCCCAUCUUAAAGGGAUAGGUACACAUCUCUUCUUCAUAACCUUCAACACUAUGUUAGGACUUCACAAUUAGAGGUGCAGUUGCUUUGAAAAACAGUCUGAUAGUUCCUCAAAUGAUUAAACAUAAAGUUAUUGUAUGACCCAGCAAUUUCACUCCUAGAUAUAUACCCAAGAGAAUGACAACAUAUGUUCACACCAAAACUUGUACAUGGAUGUUUAUGGCAGCAUUAUUCAUAAUAGUCAAAAGACUGAAAAAAAUCCAAAUGUCCAUUAACUAAUGAAUGGAUAUUAAAAUGUGGUUUAUUUAUCCAUACAGUGGAAUAUUAUUCAGCUAUGGAAAAGAACACAGUACUGAUACAUGACAAAACAUGGAUGAAUCCUAAAAACAUUAAGCUAAUUGAGAGAAGCCAGCCACAAAAGACCACAUAUUACAUGUAUCUAUUCAUAUGAAAUAUUCAGAACAGGGAAAUCUACAGAAACACUAAGUGGAUCAAUGGCUGCCUAGGAUGAGAAGAGGGGGGUGAACAUUUAGGGGAAUGAUAGCUAAAACAUAUGGAAUUUCUUUUUAGGGUGAUGAAAAUGUUCUAAAAUUGACUGUGGUAAUAGUUGCACAUAUCUGUGAAUAUACUAAAAGGCAUUGAAUUGUAAACUUUAAAUGGGUGAAUUGUAUGAUAUGUGAA